AAAGAAAUGGCAAUGAGCAGAGGUCUCCCACCCUCACGUGGAGGACAGGGUCCGCAAAGAUGAGUCACAUUGUAGAACUUCACUAUUCAGAGAAAGCCCCUUCACAUGCAGAAUCUCGCUGGUCUCUCAGGACAAUCCUGUGAGAGACGGGGUCUCAUUAUGUUGCCCGAGGCUUCAGUAUCUUUUCCAAAGCAACAUGAAAGAAAUGUGACCGUAAAUCAAUCAGCUUCUUGGUGUGAUCUAUGUGACGGCUAGGUGAUAAACGAGUUGGUCAGAGAAAACUGGAAAUAUUUCCAAAGCCAUGUUUACUCCCUUCACCCACCUGUGAGUCUUCGCCUUGGCUGUUUCCGACUCGGAAUGUCCUCGCAUUGAUCCUCCCAAUCACAGCCAGCUGAAACCAGCCUCCUUCCUGACGUAUUCAGUAACUUUAGCUGAUUGCCAUCUCUCCUUCAUCUCAACAACCUGUACCACACUCACUGGAGCACUUCGCUUUGCAUCUUUAGUCGACCAGUUCAGAUAUAUACAACCUAUAAGGUAGGGACGGAGGCUUCUACCUGCCUGUACCCCCUUUGGAGGGCCCACGAAUACAGAGCUGAGCACAAAAGAUGUUUAAAGGACAUUUUGUCAAAAAUGUCGCUUACAGGUAGGUCGUUAUUAGCAAGGUAGAGCAGCGGUACGGCCGAGUCUACGCUUGGGAAUUCAUUUGCUGACUCUUAUCAUUUACUGACUAAAGCAAAGUUACUGAGGCCUCAGUUUCCUCAUCUACAACCCGGGGAGAUGACCAGUACCCAUCACAAUCGAUUGCUAUGAAGAUUCAAUGAUAAUGCAGAUAAGGCACUUAAUACAGUGUCCCCUCACCGUCCACACCACACGGGCACGCCCGCUUAUUCCUGAGGACCGGGCUGGGAUGUCGCCUCCUUUGUGUAGCCUUCCUACCCUGACUUCGCAGACUGCUCCCACCGCCUGGAUCCAUGCCCGUCCACCCGCCAGCUCAGGGCUGAACGGCUGAGGCGGGCGCGCGGUGGAGAAAAGAGCUGCAGACUGAGGAAGGUCAGGAAGGAGAAAGGGACACACCAGACGCGGCGUCUGAAUCCCCCUCCACCCAGAGGCCCCCGAGCAGCAACUCCGCCCCACCUCCCGCCCGCUCCGCCGGAAGCCGGUCAGCGCCAGCCGGAAGCCCCGCCCCCUAGAGGCACCGCGGACACCGUGCAGCGCUGUUCACCCAGAUGCCAGCUGUGACCUUGGCUAAGCCAGUGACUUAACUCGGGCCCGUUCCCCAUUCCCACGUUGUUGCCAAGUCUCCAGCCUGGAAAGUAAACGGGCUUCAGGUGUCCUGUUUAGAUGCUUAAAAUGAGGAACGGCAGGAGCACACACACUGCUGCCACCUCACACCUUUUCACUUCAUCCUGACGAAGCUGCAGUUUAGUUUAUAUUUUAACUCAAAGACGUGUUAGGUUUUGGUUUGAUGGCACUCAUCCAGCACUUGUGCAGAAAACAAGGUAAAGGGGGCCCAUGGGUCUAUCAGAUAACCUGAACCCGAGACCUCUCAAUCUGGAGGAACAGCUUGAAGAAGUCAUCUAGAAGCUAUAAAGUCACAGAAGCUUCUUAUCCUAUUGAAAGCAAGACUUCCUAUCCAAUGGCAAUACAAACUUUUAC
rnacentral:lncRNA from 10 species